GACAGAGGAUGCAAGCGUUAUCCGGAAUGAUUGGGCGUAAAGCGUCUGUAGGUGGCUUUUAAGUCCGCCGUCAAAUCCCAGGGCUCAACCCUGGACAGGCGGUGGAACUACCAAGCUGGAGUACGGUAGGGCAGAGGGAAUUUCCGGUGGAGCGGUGAAAUGCGUAGAGAUCGGAAGAACACCAACGGCGAAAGCACUCUGCUGGCCGACACUGACACUGAGAGACGAAAGCUAGGGAGCGAAUGG
rnacentral:rRNA from 1 species